rnacentral:lncRNA from 1 species
UUUUUUUUUGUUUUUUUCUUUGCUACAUUUGUAUUAGUUCUUCCCAUCACCUUCUGCAUCCCAGCUGUUCCUUUCCGGUACAGGUUAAAUCAUCUUUUCUUAUAGCAGACUGUAGGUGACCAAUAAACCUCUGCUGACACAAACAAGCCUUGGGAUUUAUCAUGAAUGGGGUGGGGGAAACUGUUCUCCCUCUGAGACAUGGUGACAGCCAGCCUGCCUUUCCUCUGGCACUAGGACCACUCAGCCUUUUCUUUUGGACCAACCUCAUAUAUCAGCGGCCAGAUGCAGGUCUCCUUUAAAAGAGAGUAUGCACGAUCUAGGCUAAUACCUAGGACCCCUCUUUCUAUCUCUUAGUCAAGAUUUCUUACACUGAUGUAUGUUGAGAUUACAGUUUUUACUGUAACAGGCCUAGCCAAGAAAAGCUGCUGUAAUUUACAGCAGGCUUGCAGGGAAACAGCCAAUGGAUGAUCAUUAAUUUAAACUGUAAAUAAGAUCCUGCUUUAUUCUGGACUCUGAUCUCCGGUAGUGCCCCUAACAAGCUGCCUGCAAAGCCAAGGCAUGAAGCCUGCUGUUUCCAACAUGAUGAUUGAAGAACUGCUCUUGUCCACACAAACAGCUAAAAAUAGCUAUAAGAAUGUGAAGGCAAAAAACAGGUUUCGGGGAAUGCAGAGAGUUACCCUGAUGUUGUCAGUUUUAUUCCAGUUGCUCCCACUAGUGUGAAAAGCAGAGAGAAGUAUCUGGUACAAAAGAUUUUUACUUGCUAGAUAGCACCCUGGAGAUCUGAGAGAAUUAAUACAACUUUUUAAAGGAGUCUGCCCUUAUCACUGGAGGAUAGCAUAAGUCCUAGAAGAAUUGGAGCACAUUUGAGCACUGCCUUUGUUCUGCAUAAUUAACAGAGCCUGAAAUUUCUUUUUUCUUUUUGUUUUAACAUAAAUUCUCAUUGACUGGAGAAGAUAUAUUCACACUUUAAAAUGUUGUGCAAGUACUAUCUCUUUGAUUCCAAUAUGUCCUUUGGGUGGGCGGAAUACAUAUUUCAUGGUAAUAAAUUCACCUCAUAAGUAGAAAAACUGUGCACAAAUAUACUGCUAUGUCAACUUUAUUGAUUUGUGUACCAUUGUUAAGACCUUCAUCGUCCUCCAAUAUUUCUUCAAUCUACUGGCAUCUCAGAAAGUGACUAUAGGGGCCUCAUUUAUCUACAGAGGAAAAGAUCCCUUCCUUUAGGUUCACUCAUAACAUUGUGAUUUAAACAGCUCAGGACCACCUCUGAUCUGAAGGGUAACAGUCCCAGAGAAAGCCAUUCCCUCAUAGUCGUGCACAGGGACUUCUCUUUUUCUAGAACUAGGGAGCGUCAAGUCUUAAGAUCAGUAAAAUGCCCAUGGCUAACUGCCCCUUUAAACGUCCUUCAGGUAACUAUGGACUAAUUACGCAGCCUGAUUCAUGGUAUAUUGACGUGGGUGGAUUCGAUGGUUGGGCUUGUUGCUGUA